AUGCCGUUUGGCCUUUGCAAUGCACCGGCAACCUUCCAGUGCCUAAUGAACAGCAUAUUCGGCCGCUAUGUCCGUAAGUUCAUCAUCAUUUUUCUUGAUGACAUAUUGGUCUUCAGCUUUGAUCUACAGGAACAUGAACAACACUUGCGCCUCACACUUGAACUGCUACGCGAACAUCAACUGUUCGCCAAGGCUUCCAAGUGUUCUUUCGCCCAGGAAAGCAUCGAGUACCUGGGCCACAUCAUUUCACAGGCCGGUGUCGCCACGGACACAAGCAAGACGAGCGCAAUGCAGGCGUGGCCGGUGCCCUCUACACUAACUGAAUUGCGUGGUUUUCUUGGCCUCACCGGCUACUACCGCAAGUUCGCCCAACAUUAUGGCAUCAUCGCGAAGCCGCUCACCCAGCUCCUGACCAAGAAAGGAUUCGAGUGGAGCGACAAGGCCCAGCAGGCGUUCGACAUGCUGAAACAAGCGAUGGUGAGCACACCAGUGCUAGCGCUUCCAGAUUUCUCUCGCCCUUUU
rnacentral:rRNA from 1 species